GACGAACGCUGGCGGCGUGCUUAACACAUGCAAGUCGAGCGGUAAGGCCCUUCGGGGUACACGAGCGGCGAACGGGUGAGUAACACGUGAGUAAUCUGCCCAUCACUUCGGGAUAACUCCGGGAAACCGGUGCUAAUACCGAAUAUGACCACUUCAGGCAUCUGAUGGUGGUGGAAAGUUCCGGCGGUGAUGGAUGAGCUCGCGGCCUAUCAGCUUGUUGGUGGGGUAGUGGCCUACCAAGGCUUCGACGGGUAGCCGGCCUGAGAGGGUGACCGGCCACACUGGGACUGAGACACGGCCCAGACUCCUACGGGAGGCAGCAGUGGGGAAUAUUGGACAAUGGGCGAAAGCCUGAUCCAGCAACGCCGCGUGAGGGAGGACGGCCUUCGGGUUGUAAACCUCUUUCAGCAGGGACGAAGCGCAAGUGACGGUACCUGCAGAAGAAGCACCGGCCAACUACGU
rnacentral:rRNA from 1 species